AGAACAGACUGCCACGUUGAAUACACCAGUUCUCGUCCGAUCACUAAAGUUAAGCGACGUUGGGUGUGGUCGGUUCUUGGAUGGGAGACCGUCUGGGAGUUGUUGGUUUCGGGGUUU
rnacentral:rRNA from 1 species